UAACCUGUCCAAGAGAUCGGGAUAACACCUGGAAACAGAUGCUAAUACCGGAUAACAACAGAUGAUGCCUAUCAACUGUUUAAAAGAUGGUUCUGCUAUCACUCUUGGAUGGACCUGCGGUGCAUUAGCUAGUUGGUAGGGUAACGGCCUACCAAGGCGAUGAUGCAUAGCCGAGUUGAGAGACUGAUCGGCCACAUUGGGACUGAGACACGGCCCAAACUCCUACGGGAGGCAGCAGGC
rnacentral:rRNA from 1 species